CCGCGUGGGUGAUGAAGGCCUUCGGGUCGUAAACUCCUUUCGAUCGGGACGAUUGUGACGGUACCUGCAGAAGAAGCACCGGCCAACUACGUGCCAGCAGCCGCGGUGAUACGUAGGGUGCAAGCGUUGUCCGGAUUUAUUGGGCGUAAAGAGCUCGUAGGCGGUUCGGUAAGUCGAUUGUGAAAUCUCCAGGCUCAACCUGGAGCGGCCGUUCGAUACUGCCGUGACUAGAGUUCGGUAGGGGACCACGGAAUUCCUGGUGUAGCGGUGAAAUGCGCAGAUAUCAGGAGGAACACCAGCAGCGAAGGCGGUGGUCUGGGCCGACACUGACGCUGAGGAGCGAAAGCGUGGGGAGCGAACGGGAUUAGAUACCCUGGUAGUCCACGCCGUAAACGUUGGGCACUAGGUGUGGGGACUAUUCAACGGUCUCCGUGCCGCAGCUAACGCAUUAAGUGCCCCGCCUGGGGAGUACGGCCGCAAGGCUAAAACUCAAAGGAAUUGACGG
rnacentral:rRNA from 1 species